AGUGAACGCUGGCGGCAGGCCUAACACAUGCAAGUCGAACGGCAGCACAGUAAAAGCUUGCUCUUAGGUAGGCCGCGUGGCGGACGGGUGAGGAAAACACCGGACUCUACUUUUUCGUGGGGGAUAACGUAGGGACGCAUAUGCUAAUACUGCAUACGGCCUACGGGUGAAAGCAGGGGAUCUUCGAACAUUGCGCGUCUGAAUGAGCUGAGGUCGGAUUAGAUAGUCGGCGGGGUGAAGUCACAGCAAGGCGACGAUCCGUAGCUGGUCUGAGAGGAGGGGCAGCCCCACUGGAACUGAGACACGGUACAGUCUACUACGGGACGCGACAGUGGGGAAUGGUAGACAAUGGGCGGAAGCCUGGUCCAGCCAUGCCGCGUGGGUGAAAGAGGCCUUCGGGUUGUAAAGCCCUUUUGUUGGGAAAGAAAAGCAGCAGGUUGAUACCCCGCUGUUCUGACGGUACCCAAAGAAUAAGCACCGGCUAACUUCGUG
rnacentral:rRNA from 1 species